rnacentral:rRNA from 1 species
CUACGGGAGGCAGCAGUGGGGAAUUUUCCGCAAUGGGCGAAAGCCUGACGGAGCAACGCCGCGUGAGGGAUGAAGGCCUCUGGGCUGUAAACCUCUUGUAUCAAGGAAGAAGAUCUGACGGUACUUGAUGAAUAAGCCACGGCUAAUUCCGUGCCAGCAGCCGCGGUAAUACGGGAGUGGCAAGCGUUAUCCGGAAUUAUUGGGCGUAAAGCGUCCGCAGGCGGUCUUUUAAGUCUGCUGUUAAAGCGUGGAGCUUAACUCCAUUUCGGCAGUGGAAACUGGAAGACUAGAGUGUGGUAGGGGCAGAGGGAAUUCCCGGUGUAGCGGUGAAAUGCGUAGAUAUCGGGAAGAACACCAGUGGCGAAGGCGCUCUGCUGGGCCGUAACUGACGCUCAUGGACGAAAGCCAGGGGAGCGAAAGGGAUUAGAUACCCCUGUAGUCCUGGCCGUAAACGAUGAACACUAGGUGUCGGGGGAAUCGACCCCCUCGGUGUCGUAGCCAACGCGUUAAGUGUUCCGCCUGGGGAGUACGCACGCAAGUGUGAAACUCAAAG